UGUAACUAGGACUUUCAGUCCCUCCCUGCAAAACAUUUACUUUAAACUCAGAACUCUUUCACCUUUAUGAUACACUUUAAUUUCUAUUAUUUAGAGGAGGUUGAGAGAUAUCUACUCUAAUACGAAUCAUUGAACUUCUUCCGUGUGGAAACAUUUCCUAUUCCACCCAGUGUAAGCAGAAUAUUUACACUGACAAGAUCAUUUGCAUUAACAGAACUUUAACCUUCUCUGGUCUUUAUAACCUUGUCAGUUUAGUGUUUCAUACAAGAGCAACAUUUAAUGACAGUAGAGCUGACAACAGCUAUGUUUUCCAUCAUUCCCAUCUGCAUACUGGCUAUUGGUAUUCAAGGCUCAAAUGGACAAGUGACAGUGACUCAGACUCCUCAAGUCCUAACUUCUCAACGUGAUGAAACGGUCAAAAUAAACUGCAAAACCAACUCACCGGUUGCUGACUGUAGUCUAUGGAGGAACUGCGUGUCCUGGUACCAGCACAAACCUGGACAGGCUCCCAAACUCCUCAUUUAUUACAUACACCAGCGCCCCUCAAACAUCCCAUCUAGAUUCAGCGGCAAUGGCGCUCACACUGACUUCACUCUGACCAUCAGUGGAGUCCAGAAAGAAGACGAAGCACAAUAUUACUUUAUGCCCCGACACAAGAUUGACAACAAGUAUGUGUUCACACAGUGAUAAAGGGUCGUACAAAACCCUCCCUCAGUCUCAUUCACACUGACUGAACUGAAACACACAGGUGCUGACGGGGAGGAAGUGAAACUGGUUAUAGUACAAUUUAGCAUUUAAAGAUUUAAGUUUAUUUUACAUACUGUUUUAGACUUUUAUUCAUUUAAUGUGCCAGUAAAUCUGAGAUGAAAUCUAGAUUAUGCAUUAGAGAAUCAUGUUUAAAUUACAGAUCAAGUUUUCAGUGCUAUUUAACUAUUUAUAAUGUAAUUUUUAAUACUUUUGAACUGAG